CAUUUAAAGAGGUACGUGAGCUGGGUUUAAAACGUCGUGAGACAGUUUGGUCCCUAUCUUCCGUGGGCGCUGCAGAUUUGAGGAAGCCUGCUCCUAGUACGAGAGGACCGGAGUGGACGUACCUCUGGUGUACCGGUUGUCAUGCCAAUGGCAUUGCCGGGUAGCUAAGUACGGAAGAGAUAACCGCUGAAGGCAUCUAAGCGGGAAACUCGUCUGAAGAUUAGAUAUCCCUGGGAACUUGAUUCCCCUGAAGGGUCGUUCGAGACCAGGACGUUGAUAGGUCAGGUGUGGAAGCACAGUAAUGUGUUAAGCUAACUGAUACUAAUUGCCCGUGCGGCUUGAUCCUAUAACCCUGUUGGUU
rnacentral:rRNA from 1 species